rnacentral:rRNA from 1 species
GAUUUCUGGUUUGAUGUACCUGUCCCGCUGCGGUAACGCAGUGAGUGACGGAGUAUGUUUGCCAUCCUUCUAGACAGCGCAAGCUACCCUUUACUGGGCCGGUUUGUGUCAUCUAGAUCUUUUACUUUGAAAAAAUUAGAGUGUUUCAAGCAGGCGUUUUGCUAUGAAUACAUUAGCAUGGAAUAAUGAGUUAGGACUUCGGUUCUAUUUUGUUGGUUUCUAGGACUGAAGUAAUGAUUGAUAGGGAUAGUUGGGGGUGCUAGUAUUCAGCGGCCAGAGGUGAAAUUCUCGGAUUCGCUGAAGACUAACUUAUGCGAAAGCAUU